GACAUCCAGCGAAUUCGGUAGAGAUACUUUAGUGCCUUCGGGAACGCUGAGACAGGUGCUGCAUGGCUGUCGUCAGCUCGUGUUGUGAAAUGUUGGGUUAAGUCCCGCAACGAGCGCAACCCUUAUCCUUUGUUGCCAGCGGUCCGGCCGGGAACUCAAAGGAGACUGCCAGUGAUAAACUGGAGGAAGGUGGGGAUGACGUCAAGUCAUCAUGGCCCUUACGAGUAGGGCUACACACGUGCUACAAUGGCGCAUACAAAGAGAAGCGACCUCGCGAGAGCAAGCGGACCUCAUAAAGUGCGUCGUAGUCCGGAUUGGAGUCUGCAACUCGACUCCAUGAAGCCGGAAUCGCUAGUAAUCGUAGAUCAGAAUGCUACGGUGAAUACGUUCCCGGGCCUUGUACACACCGCCCGUCACACCAUGGGAGUGGGUUGCAAAAGAAGUAGGUAGCUUAACCUUCGGGAGGGCGCUUACCACUUUGUGAUUCAUGACUGGGGUGAAGUCGUAACAAGGUAAGCGUACGUGU
rnacentral:rRNA from 1 species